rnacentral:rRNA from 1 species
UACGUAGGUGGCAAGCGUUGUCCGGAAUUAUUGGGCGUAAAGCGCGCGCAGGCGGUCCUUUAAGUCUGAUGUGAAAGCCCACGGCUCAACCGUGGAGGGUCAUUGGAAACUGGGGGACUUGAGUGCAGAAGAGGAAAGCGGAAUUCCACGUGUAGCGGUGAAAUGCGUAGAGAUGUGGAGGAACACCAGUGGCGAAGGCGGCUUUCUGGUCUGUAACUGACGCUGAGACACGAAAGCGUGGGUAGCAAACAGG